rnacentral:lncRNA from 1 species
UCAUGCAAAGAGGAAAGAGAUAAAGAAUCGGAGGACAUGAUGCUGAUAUGUGAAACCACAAACAAAAAGAACUGUCCAGGUAAAGGCUACUACCAUCAGGAGUGCCUAGGAAUUGAAAGAGUACCUAAAGGAAAGUGGCUGUGCGACUUCUGCAAACAGAAAUCU